rnacentral:rRNA from 1 species
UGGGGGAUCUUCCGCAAUGGGCGAAAGCCUGACGGAGCGACGCCGCGUGGGUGAGGAAGGCCUUCGGGUUGUAAAGCCCUGUUGUAGGGGAAGAAGGCAGGUGACGGUACCCUACGAGGAAGCCCCGGCUAACUACGUGCCAGCAGCCGCGGUAAGACGUAGGGGGCGAGCGUUGUCCGGAAUUACUGGGCGUAAAGGGCGCGUAGGCGGUCCAGGAAGUCUGGGGUGAAAGGCCGCAG